rnacentral:rRNA from 1 species
UACGUAGGUGGCAAGCGUUGUCCGGAUUUACUGGGCGUAAAGAGCGCGCAGGCGGUCGUUCAAGUCGCGUGUGAAAGCCCCCGGCUCAACUGGGGAGGGUCACGCGAUACUGAUCGACUCGAAGGCAGGAGAGGGAAGUGGAAUUCCAGGUGUAGCGGUGAAAUGCGUAGAUAUCUGGAGGAAUACCGGUGGCGAAGGCGGCGUUCUGGACUGCAACUGACACUGAUGAACGAAAGCCAGGGGAGCAAACGGG